rnacentral:lncRNA from 1 species
ACCACCUCAACCUCCCAAAGUGCUGGGAUUCCUUGAGUCUUGAUUCAAAACUUUUUCUUCUGAAUUAUACUGGUAUUCUAAGAGGUAUUUCAUUAUGGUCUUGGAGUUAGACUGCCGGGAUUCAGAUCCCAGCUCUGCCACUAAUAAGCUGUGUGGCCUUAGCCAAGCCAUUUAACCUUUGGGACUACAGGCACAUGCAUCACCACACCCGGCUCAUUUUUGUAUUUUUAGUAGAGAUGAGGUUUCACCAUGUUGGCCAGGUUGGUUCAUUUUGGUUUGGGUGUGUGAUGCAGCCCUGGAGGCUUGGCUGUGGUUCCCCAAGGACCAGCUGCCACAUGGGGCCUCUCUUGGCCAUUUUGCUUAGUUGCUCCUCAGACCGGAACAUCACUAUAAUAUCUCCUUCUGACCAUCUGUGCUCCCCUAAGCCAGUGUAUCUUCUCCCACCUACCCUGAACCUUGUUCUUAGACUGGACCUCAAUAGCCAGCUGGUGCCACCCCCGUCUUCUCACAGCUGCCUCUCCUAUAGGCUUAGAAAGCAGGGCCUAGUCAAAGCCUUGACCCAAAGCUAUGCUAUGGUCCUCUCCCCAUCUUAAUCCAGCCAUGCAGGACCC